rnacentral:rRNA from 1 species
GAUCAAGUAAAGGAAGAGCACAAGGCGGAUGCCUUGGCAGCAUAAGGCGAUGAAGGACGUAAUAACCUGCGAUAAGCCUCGGGGAGCUGGUAAAUAAGCUUCGAUCCGAGGAUUUCCGAAUGGGGAAAACCCAAUAUACGUAAGUAUAUUAUCUUAUACUGAAUACAUAGGUAUAAGAGGCAAACCUAGGGAACUGAAACAUCUAAGUACCUAGAGGAAAAGAAAUCAACUGAGAUUCCGGUAGUAGCGGCGAGCGAAACCGGAGCAGCCCUUAAGCUUUUAUUAGUCCAGCAAAAUAUUCUGGAAAGUUUAGCCAUAGUAGGUGAUAGCCCUGUAUGCGAAAGACUAAUUUAAGUGAAAUCGAGUAGGUCGGGACACGUGAAAUCUUGACUGAAUAUGGGGGGACCAUCCUCCAAGGCUAAAUACUCUAUGCUGACCGAUA